UAAAUAAAUAAAUAAAUAAAUAAAAGUUGCUAAGAGAAUAGAGCUUAAAAGCACUCAUCACAAGAAAAAAAUCUGCAACUAUGUAUGAUGGUUGUUAAUUUAUUGUGGUCAUCAUUUUGCAAUAUAUACAGAUAUUGAAUCAUUAAGUUAUACACUAAAACUAACAUAAUGUUCUACCUCAAUUAUUGCAAUUAAAAUUCUCAAUAAAAGGGGUGCCUAGCUGGUUCAGUCAGUGGAACAUGUGACUCUUGAUCUUGGAGUUGUGAGUUCAAGCCCCAUACUGGGCACAGAGAUUACUUAAAAAAAAAAAAAAAAAUUAAAGUUAAGAAAAAAAGUUUUGAAAAUCUCAAUAAAGGAAAGGCAAGAAAGAAAGAGAGAGAAAGAGAGAGAGAGGGAGGAAGGAAGAAAACCUCAUGUCCAUUAAGCAGUUACUCCCAAUUUUCCCUUUCCCCCAGUCUUGGCAGCUACCAAUCUGCUGUUUCUAUAGAUUUACCUAUUCUGGGUAUUUCAUGUGAGAAAUCGGAGACAAAGCUGAAGUAGCAGGCUAGUGUCACAGUGGGUAAACGGCAAGAUCCUGACAAGACCCCUUCUCUUUCCAUCCACCCCACAUCAGAGUUCAACCAGCUAUUCACACUAACCCAGUCACAACUCACUACAAUGACUAUAAGAUAUUACUACAAAUUAAAUUUUGAAGAGAGGUUCUCACAUUCAGACAAGAAAAGGCUCAAGUUAUAAACUGGUUUAGCUCUAAAUACAUGUUUAUAACUUAGUCUCUGUAAUUCAUAAAGCAUUUUCCCAAAUAAAAACCUAUACAAAUGGUUAAAUAAUUUCCUGGAGGGAUACCACAAAUUAGGUUAAGAGAUGGGGGUUUACUGGGAAGAAUCAAGAAACCAGAAAUAAAAACAAGCUACAAAAAGUA